UCCCUGGUGGUUCAGUGGGUUAAGGAUCCAGUACUGUCACUACUAUGGUGUGGGUUCAAUCCCUGGCCUGGGAA
rnacentral:tRNA from 1 species